AUGUUUGCAGCUGUGUUCCUGUUGUCAGUAGUGGGAUGUGUGAAGUGUGAACUGCUGAAUCAGCCGGCCUCUGUGACUGUGCAGCCAGGUCAUCGUCUGACCAUCAGCUGUGUUGAUGGUCAGACAUUAACAGAGUCUGAAUCAGUGGUUAAAAGACCUGGAGAGUCCCAUAAACUGACUUGUACAGUCUCUGGAUUCUCACUCAGCAGCUAUGCUGUUGCUUGGGUCAGACAGGCUCCUGGAAAAGGACUGGAGUGGAUUGCAACUGAUGCUGGUGUCAGUAGCCAAUACCGGUACUACUCUCAGUCAUUUCAAGGCCGCUUCACCGUCUCCAGAGACAAUAACAGACAGCAGCUGUAUCUGCAGAUGAACAGUCUGAGGACUGAAGACUCUGCUGUUUAUUAUUGCGCUCGAAGGGCACAGUGA